rnacentral:rRNA from 1 species
GUAGGUGGCAAGCGUUGUCCGGAAUUAUUGGGCGUAAAGCGCGCGCAGGCGGUUCUUUAAGUCUGAUGUGAAAGCCCACGGCUCAACCGAGGAGGGUCAUUGGAAACUGGAGAACUUGAGUACAGAAGAGGAAAGCGGAAUUCCACGUGUAGCGGUGAAAUGCGUAGAGAUGUGGAGGAACACCAGUGGCGAAGGCGGCUUUCUGGUCUGUAACUGACGCUGAGGCGCGAAAGCGUGGGGAGCAAACAGGAUUAGAUACCCUGGUAGUCCACGCCGUAAACGAUGAGUGCUAAGUGUUAGGGGGGUUUCCGCCCCCCUUAGUGCUGCAGCUAACGCAUUAAGCACUCCGCCUGGGAGUACGGCCGCAAGGCUG